rnacentral:piRNA from 1 species
UCUGAGCUGAAGAAUCAAAAAAA